rnacentral:rRNA from 1 species
ACGAACGCUAGCGGCGCGCCUUAAGCAUGCAAGUGGAACGAAGUGUUGUAGCAAUACACAUGAAGUCGCGAACGGCUGAGUAACACGUAGGAAUCUACCCUUUAGUGGGGAAUACCUCGUCGAAAGACGAGCUAAUACCGCAUAAGAACGCGAGUUGAAAGCAGCAAUGCGCUGAAGGAGGAGCCUGCGGCUCAUCAGGUAGUUGGUAGGGUAAUGGCCUACCAAGCCAACGACGAGUAGGGGACGUGAGAGCGUGACCCCCCAGAACGGUACUGAGACACGGACCGUACACCUACGGGUGGCAGCAACUGGGAAUCGUGCGCAAUGGACGAAAGUCUGACGCUGCGACGCCGCGUGAAUGAUGAAGGGCCCUUAGGGUCGUAAAGUUCUUUUGCCAUUGGGGUGACCUAAUGGAGAAUAAGCACCGGCUAACUCUGUGCCAGCAGCAGCGGUAAUACAGAGGGGUGCAAGCGUUGUCCGGAUUUACUGGGCGUAAAGCGUUUCGUAGGUGGCUUUGUAAGUUAUUCUUUAAAGACCGAGGCUCAACCUCGGGAAGGGGAGUAAUACUAUAAGGCUUGAAGAAUGUUGGGGUUACUGGAACUUGCGGUGUAGGGGUGAAAUCCGUUGAUAUCGCAAGGAACACCAAGGGCGAAGGCAGGUAACUAGGCAUUUUCUUGACACUGAGGAACGACAGCUAGGGGAGCGAAAUGGAUUAGAGGACCCAUGUAGUCCUAGCCGUAAACGAUGCUCGCUAGGGAUGGGGAGGUUAUACUUUCCGUUCCGUAAGUUAACACGUUAAGCGAGCCGCCUGGGGAGUACGAUCGCAAGAUUAAAACUCAAAGGAAUUGACGGGGACCCGCACAACCAGUGGAGCAUGUGGUUUAAUUUCGAGACGAACCGAAGAAACCUUACCUGGGUUUGACAUGCUAGAUGCACGUCACUAGAGAUAGUGAUUUCUUCGAGAGUUCUAGCACAGGUGUUGCAUGGCUGUCGUCAGCUCGUGUCGUGAGGUGUUCCCUUCAGUGGGGUAACGAGCGCAACCCGCGUCGUAUGUUUAAAUUGUUCAUACGAGACUGCUUGAGUCAUUCUCAAGAGGAAGGCGCGGAUGAUGUCAAGUCAGCAUGGCCUUUAUAUCCAGGGCGACACACAUGCUACAAUGAAGCCGACAAUGGGGUUGCCAACCCGUAAGGGGGAGCUAAUCCCAUCAAACGGCUUCUCAGUGGGGAUUGGGGGCUGCAACUCGCCCCCAUGAACGCGGAAUUGGUAGUAAUCGCGAAUCAGCCAAGUCGCAGUGAAUACGUUCUCGGGUCUUGUACACACCGCCCGUCAAGUCAGAGGAGUUGGAGAUACCCGAAGGCCAUCUGUGAUGGACGAAGGUAGAGCCAGCAACUAGGAUU